GUAGGGAAUAUUGCGCAAUGGACGAAAGUCUGACGCAGCGACGCCGCGUGAGUGAUGAAGGCCUUAGGGUCGUAAAGCUCUGUUGAAUGGGAAGAAAAAAAUGACGGUACCAUUCGAGGAAGGACCGGCUAACUUCGUGCCAGCAGCCGCGGUAAUACGAGGGGUCCUAGCGUUGUUCGGAAUCAUUGGGCGUAAAGGGUGUGUAGGUGGCCAUGUAAGUCAGGUGUGAAAGCCCCGGGCUCAACCCGGGAAGUGCACUUGAUACUGAGUGGCUUGAGUACCGAAGAGGGUAGUGGAAUUCCAGGUGUAGUGGUGAAAUACGUAGAUAUCUGGAGGAACACCGGUGGCGAAGGCGGCUACCUGGUCGAGUACUGACACUGAGACACGAAAGCAUGGGGAUCAAACAGGAUUAGAUACCCCAGUAGUCC
rnacentral:rRNA from 1 species